GGGCCGUUAGCUCAGUUGGUCAGAGCAGAGGACUCAUAAUCCUUUGGUCGUUGGUUCAAGCCCAACACGGCCUA
rnacentral:tRNA from 1 species